GCGAGGCAGGAGUCAGGCUAAAGGGGCAGGACUACAGAUCCUGUGGCGUAGGCCUUCGUGGGUUCGAAUCCCACCCCCCGCACCA
rnacentral:tRNA from 1 species